GGUGGCGCUAAAGAUAACGUGAUUUUCUAAACCGGAAGUAUAGAAAGAUAACAUUUGAAGAAACUGUAAACAUGCGAUCUGGGUGGAUUUCGAGGUUUUCAGAAGCUGCAGAAGGUUGUGUAGUUUGGUAUCAGAAUAAAUAGACGUAUUGCUUGUAGGACAUUGACGGCUGAGGAACUUGAAAUUAACUGUAGAGUGCUACCUUAAACAUGUAUGAGUGUGACAAUUUCUAUGACCAUGAAAAUACAAGGAAGAGUAAUUCGGACAUAAAUUUGGAUGUAAACAAUAAACUACAAGUUAACAGAUCUGUAUAUCAGAACUAAAAGUACUGAAAUGAUUGCUGAUGCGAACCCUGUUGGUUAGAUUUUCUAUCAAGAGUCUGUCCAAAUAAUACUGGUCAACUUAUGUCAGGUGAUGAAAAACCCUCUGGCACUGAAUAUUCAAAAGGAAAUUUUGCAUCUAAAGAAGAACAAUGCUAUGUUCUUGCUAAGAUUGGUUUGAACAAUGUAAAAGAUUAUAGAACAACACACAGAUUAUUACGACAAAGGAAAAUUUCUUUAUUCCGAUAAGUACAAACAAAUGAAAAAAACUGUUACACUGUUUUGUGCCUGGAUAGUGUGAUAUUAGCUUUAUCAUAUUUCAUAGAAAAUAUUGUGGAUGAGAAGUUGUUUGCUGUUGGACAUAUAUGUACAAUAACAGAACUAGUACAUCCUUUUUGUGAUGUUGGAUACCAUCUGUUAAGAAUGAAAACUGAAGAGGAUGUUCAUGUUGAUAAGAUAAUUGAAGAAGUGUUUGUUAUUCAAACUGAAAAUACAUUUUUUUAAGUUAGUUGUGUUCCAAAUUUGUUCAAGUGACUGGCGUAUCUUAGAUUACAUCAUUUGAAUCGCAGUUUGAGACAGUAAAAUAUAAGUCUAAUAUUACAAAAUACAACUUUAAAUUAAUGUGACAUUUAGUGUUAAUUAUUAUAGGCACAAUCCCUGUGGUAGAGUGAUUUACGGGUCACUUCUUCAAAUCUGUCUUUCAUAAUAGAUACUAAAAUGAUAUGUUAACUAAAAAGCAUUGAUUUUGGAUACAAAUAAAUUCAGAUUCUUGAAUAGGUGUUCCAAUUUCAUGAAAAUAUUUUCUAUUCCAAGAUAUUUUCCUUUGUUUUGAUAAAUUUUUUCAAGUUUAAGUAGUUUUUUCAGUAAUUCUUGUCUGCCAAAAAUGGUGGAUGGCGAGUUUGAGCUCUGCUUUGCAACCAUAACCUUCAUAUGGAAAAAUUGGUUAUUCUUAACUGAGUUUUUUUUUUACUUGGGCCAAACUGGAGUUCAGCGUCCUGUAUGGAAUAUUUUAUUUUGCCUGUUGUAUAUUUGUAACUGGUAGGAACAUAAUUAUGUGAUUUUUGUACCUAAACUUAUAGCUUACCUAGUAAUUUAGCCUUUAUGGCUACAAUACAGGGUAAUAUAUCCCACUAUCAAUUUAUGCACAUAAUCCCCGGCUUCUGACAUUAAGAUCCCACCUUAAUUUACCAUUUUAAUUAAUUUUGCUACAUGUACUUCUUCCCAGUGCCCUUUGAUGCUUUAUAUCAAUGCUUAUCUUGUAUUCCGAUAAAUGCUGUAAAACUGUUGAAAAUGGGGACAAUAUGUUUAACCUCCAUUUAUGGCCUAGCAGAUGGAUUCUAGGAUAAUAACCAAGGAGAUGCUGAAUCAUGUUAUAUUCAAAAUUCUGUCAUGUUUAAACAUGUUUGCUUUCCUAUAAAAAAAUUUGUAAACAAAACAACUGAAACUAUUCUUAUUAUCAAUGUUUUCACAGAAAGUAAAAUCCUGUUGUAAGAUGUAAUUUAAAAAAUGCUUAUUUGUUAAAAAAUAUCGACUUUGAAUUUAUCAUGUUCAGCCAUGUUUGAUCAUGUAUGACUAUGUUAUUCUCUUAAUAAUAAAUGGGUCAAUGUGUCAGUAAUUAUUAAAGCGUUUAAGGCUAUUUAUACACAAAGUUGAAAUGUAUGGAUA